UAAAGAGAAGGGCUUGGGUGUCAAGAUGACAAGGGGUGGAUGUGACAGCUAAGCAGAACUGUCAACUUGAUUGCCUUGAGCACUGCGUGGGGGCUUAGGAAAGCACCCUCCUGAAUAUCUCUGGAAAUCACUAAUCCACCAAUGACAGCUGCUACAAUUUGCAUGGUGCCCAAGUUUCAGAUUUUACUGGACCUGCCAACUGCUUAUUUAUGCUCAACACUGAGGUAUUUUGCUAAGAUCAUUGCUUCCAGCUGAUGUAAUUACACUGUGUUUAUAUUCAAGAAAGUCAUCUUACCUAAGAGAU